UUAAGCGACUAAGCGUACACGGUGGAUGCCCUGGCAGUCAGAGGCGAUGAAGGACGUGCUAAUCUGCGAUAAGCGUCGGUGAGGUGAUAUGAACCGUUAUAACCGGCGAUUUCCGAAUGGGGAAACCCAGUGUGUUUCGACACACUAUCAUUAACUGAAUCCAUAGGUUAAUGAGGCGAACCGGGGGAACUGAAACAUCUAAGUACCCCGAGGAAAAGAAAUCAACCGAGAUUCCCCCAGUAGCGGCGAGCGAACGGGGAGGAGCCCAGAGCCUGAAUCAGUGUGUGUGUUAGUGGAAGCGUCUGGAAAGGCGUGCGAUACAGGGUGACAGCCCCGUACACAAAAAUGCACAUAUUGUGAGCUCGAUGAGUAGGGCGGGACACGUGGUAUCCUGUCUGAAUAUGGGGGGACCAUCCUCCAAGGCUAAAUACUCCUGACUGACCGAUAGUGAACCAGUACCGUGAGGGAAAGGCGAAAAGAACCCCGGCGAGGGGAGUGAAAAAGAACCUGAAACCGUGUACGUACAAGCAGUGGGAGCCUCUUAAUGGGGUGACUGCGUACCUUUUGUAUAAUGGGUCAGCGACUUAUAUUCUGUAGCAAGGUUAACCGAAUAGGGGAGCCGAAGGGAAACCGAGUCUUAACUGGGCGUUAAGUUGCAGGGUAUAGACCCGAAACCCGGUGAUCUAGCCAUGGGCAGGUUGAAGGUUGGGUAACACUAACUGGAGGACCGAACCGACUAAUGUUGAAAAAUUAGCGGAUGACUUGUGGCUGGGGGUGAAAGGCCAAUCAAACCGGGAGAUAGCUGGUUCUCCCCGAAAGCUAUUUAGGUAGCGCCUCGUGAAUUCAUCUCCGGGGGUAGAGCACUGUUUCGGCAAGGGGGUCAUCCCGACUUACCAACCCGAUGCAAACUGCGAAUACCGGAGAAUGUUAUCACGGGAGACACACGGCGGGUGCUAACGUCCGUCGUGAAGAGGGAAACAACCCAGACCGCCAGCUAAGGUCCCAAAGUCAUGGUUAAGUGGGAAACGAUGUGGGAAGGCCCAGACAGCCAGGAUGUUGGCUUAGAAGCAGCCAUCAUUUAAAGAAAGCGUAAUAGCUCACUGGUCGAGUCGGCCUGCGCGGAAGAUGUAACGGGGCUAAACCAUGCACCGAAGCUGCGGCAGCGACACUAUGUGUUGUUGGGUAGGGGAGCGUUCUGUAAGCCUGUGAAGGUGGCCUGUGAGGGUUGCUGGAGGUAUCAGAAGUGCGAAUGCUGACAUAAGUAACGAUAAAGCGGGUGAAAAGCCCGCUCGCCGGAAGACCAAGGGUUCCUGUCCAACGUUAAUCGGGGCAGGGUGAGUCGACUCCUAAGGCGAGGCCGAAAGGCGUAGUCGAUGGGAAACAGGUUAAUAUUCCUGUACUUGGUGUUACUGCGAAGGGGGGACGGAGAAGGCUAUGUUGGCCGGGCGACGGUUGUCCCGGUUUAAGCGUGUAGGCUGGUUUUCCAGGCAAAUCCGGAAAACCAAGGCUGAGGCGUGAUGACGAGGCACUACGGUGCUGAAGUGACAAAUGCCCUGCUUCCAGGAAAAGCCUCUAAGCAUCAGGUAACAUCAAAUCGUACCCCAAACCGACACAGGUGGUCAGGUAGAGAAUACCAAGGCGCUUGAGAGAACUCGGGUGAAGGAACUAGGCAAAAUGGUGCCGUAACUUCGGGAGAAGGCACGCUGAUAUGUAGGUGAAGCGACUUGCUCGUGGAGCUGAAAUCAGUCGAAGAUACCAGCUGGCUGCAACUGUUUAUUAAAAACACAGCACUGUGCAAACACGAAAGUGGACGUAUACGGUGUGACGCCUGCCCGGUGCCGGAAGGUUAAUUGAUGGGGUUAGCGGUAACGCGAAGCUCUUGAUCGAAGCCCCGGUAAACGGCGGCCGUAACUAUAACGGUCCUAAGGUAGCGAAAUUCCUUGUCGGGUAAGUUCCGACCUGCACGAAUGGCGUAAUGAUGGCCAGGCUGUCUCCACCCGAGACUCAGUGAAAUUGAACUCGCUGUGAAGAUGCAGUGUACCCGCGGCAAGACGGAAAGACCCCGUGAACCUUUACUAUAGCUUGACACUGAACAUUGAGCCUUGAUGUGUAGGAUAGGUGGGAGGCUUUGAAGUGUGGACGCCAGUCUGCAUGGAGCCGACCUUGAAAUACCACCCUUUAAUGUUUGAUGUUCUAACGUUGGCCCGUAAUCCGGGUUGCGGACAGUGUCUGGUGGGUAGUUUGACUGGGGCGGUCUCCUCCUAAAGAGUAACGGAGGAGCACGAAGGUUGGCUAAUCCUGGUCGGACAUCAGGAGGUUAGUGCAAUGGCAUAAGCCAGCUUGACUGCGAGCGUGACGGCGCGAGCAGGUGCGAAAGCAGGUCAUAGUGAUCCGGUGGUUCUGAAUGGAAGGGCCAUCGCUCAACGGAUAAAAGGUACUCCGGGGAUAACAGGCUGAUACCGCCCAAGAGUUCAUAUCGACGGCGGUGUUUGGCACCUCGAUGUCGGCUCAUCACAUCCUGGGGCUGAAGUAGGUCCCAAGGGUAUGGCUGUUCGCCAUUUAAAGUGGUACGCGAGCUGGGUUUAGAACGUCGUGAGACAGUUCGGUCCCUAUCUGCCGUGGGCGCUGGAGAACUGAGGGGGGCUGCUCCUAGUACGAGAGGACCGGAGUGGACGCAUCACUGGUGUUCGGGUUGUCAUGCCAAUGGCACUGCCCGGUAGCUAAAUGCGGAAGAGAUAAGUGCUGAAAGCAUCUAAGCACGAAACUUGCCCCGAGAUGAGUUCUCCCUGAGACUUAGAGUCUCCUGAAGGAACGUUGAAGACGACGACGUUGAUAGGCCGGGUGUGUAAGCGCAGCGAUGCGUUGAGCUAACCGGUACUAAUGAACCGUGAGGCUUAACCUU
rnacentral:rRNA from 1 species